GGCUGCUCUAAGUGCAGUGGUGUGUAUAAACACAUUGGUCAUAACCAGUUACAGAUUUCUUUGUUCCUUCUCCACUCCCACUGCUUCACUUGACUAUUAA
rnacentral:Y_RNA from 1 species